CAGACACCAGCGAGGAGGUCACCGCGACUGGCCACCACCAGCAGGCACGUUGGGCAGAGGGGCCAGGGCAGGCCUCCCUCCUGCCAGGACGAAGGGCACAGAACCUCGGCUGGCCAUGUGUUUGGGGCACAGGAACAAUGGCCUGGGGAUGGGCACGGCAGGCCACUCCUUUCUGCCAGUCAAGGAGGGCUCACCCUGGGCCCAACCCUCUCCACAUGUCACCCUGUCCCCGCGGUCGGAGCCAAUUGUCCCCUCUGGUGAAGGCACAGCCGCCCUGAGCCUCGCCCCUGGCCAUGAGGCAAUGCUCGGUAGUCAUGGCAAUGCCAGUCCUCGCUGACCCUUACAGAACACUCCAGGCACUUGACACACGCGAACCCACUGAAGCUUCAGAACAUCCCUGUCAGGCAGAAAAUAGCGUUCUCCCCAUUUUACAGGCAAGGAAACUGAGGCACUUGCCAAGGGCAGUAAGCGGAGGAGCCAGGAUUUUAGCUCUGGCAGUCCGGCCCCACAGCCUGUGCGCCUAAGCACCCCGAUUCCGCUGGAAGAACGGAACUGGGAGCCAGCCGGCCUGGGCUCUCAGCCCAGUUCACCCAGUAACUCUCGCGGGGUCUUGUGGGUGCAGGAGGGAGCCGGGCGGAUGGGCUGGGCUCCCAGGAGACGGAGAGGAGGGAAGCCCUCACAGGGAACACCCCCUGCGGCAGAAAUCCUCUUUUCUGGACUGAACGGGACUGUAUUUGGCUGGUUCGUCACCGGUGGGAGUCGUCGGACAGGAUCUGUUCAUAUGGGACCCGUCCGAAUUGUGCCUCGACUGAAAAGUCUCUCCAGCCCCGGGGAGUAACGGGGGAGACGGCCUCAUCUGCGCUCCCAAGGACACCACCUGGCAUUGAACUUCUUUUCCUACAAGUGCCUGCCUCGACUUCCCCACCUGUUCCUGGAACUACUCGAGGGUGCGGCCACACCUUAAGGCGCAUCUGGCUCCUUCCGCAGCCCCCGGCGCUGGGCCCAGGACCAUCAGGCACUCAGUGCCAACUCGCUGACCGCUCUCUGAAGAACCCUCCCCAGGAAGGGAUGGCCCUGCGCAGACAGGAGGACCGGAUGGCGGUCAGCGCGGUGGUAGCGAGCCAGCUCGGUCUCCAGAAGGGCUGGCCUGUCCCCCAAGCAGGCGCCUCCGCCAGCCUCCCUCUGAAGGACACGCCAAUGGGACGAGCAGGCAGCUCAUGGCCUCAGCCUGAGCCAGGGACGGCUCAGGGGGGAGGGGCUGUCUGAGGCCAGUUGCCAUGGACACGGGAUGAGUGGGCCCUGGGGGGCGGGGGGAGCACUGUGCACAGAGCGCCUGUUCUGCUUCUAAACCCAAGCUGAGGCCCUGCCAGAGGAGCAGGCUCUUCCUUUGUUCUGGAAACUUCCUCAGGGCCCUGGAGACGGAGUCAGGGCCUGGACUAGGAGAAAGGUGGCCCCAAAGCCAGGGAUCCUGUCCCUGUUGGGAUGGGCCCGGUGAUGGCCAGAGAGGCUGAGGCCUCCCUCCCUGCCUGACCACCCUGAGCCUCACUGCUUUCUCUGUGAGGUGGGGAGGGUCACGGGGAACCCUCCUUUCUUGGUCCCCCGCCCAGGCGGUCAGAGGGGACAGCUGCAGGGUCAGCCCGGCCCAGGCUGGGAAUUAAGAGCUGGAGAGUGGAGGGUUUUCUGUGCUUGUUUAUCCAGUCACCAUUGAUUUUAAUUACCUCCCUCCUUUGGGCUCCCAGACAGGAGGCACCGGAUAAUGAAGACAAAUCCUCAGAUCAAUAGAGAUGUGGUCGCCAGCACCAGAA